GACGAACGCUGGCGGCGUGCUUAACACAUGCAAGUCGAACGGAAAGGCCCUGCUUGCAGGGUACUCGAGUGGCGAACGGGUGAGUAACACGUGGGUGAUCUGCCCUGCACUUCGGGAUAAGCCUGGGAAACUGGGUCUAAUACCGGAUAGGAGCCAUUGUUAGUGUGAUGGUUGGAAAGUUUUUUUCGGUGUAGGAUGAGCUCGCGGCCUAUCAGCUUGUUGGUGGGGUAAUGGCCUACAAAGGCGGCGACGGGUAUCCGGCCUGAGAGGGUGGACGGCCACAGUGGGACUGAGAUACAGCCCAGACUCCUACGGGAGGCAGCAGCGGGGAAUGUUGCACAAGGGGCGCAAGCCUGAUGCAGCUACGCCGCGUGGGGGAGGACGGCCUUCGGUUUGUAAACUCCUUUCGCUAGGGACGAAGCUUUUUGUGACGUUACCUAGAUAAGAAGCACCGGCUAACUACGUG
rnacentral:rRNA from 1 species